AGAGUUUGAUCCUGGCUCAGAAUGAACGCUGGCGGCGUGCAUAACACAUGCAAGUCGAACGAGAAACCCCGGCUUGCCGGGGGAGUAAAGUGGCGCACGGGUGAGUAACGCGUGGGUAACCUGCCCCUUAAUCUGGAAUAACUUCGCGAAAGCGUUGCUAAUACCGGAUACUGUCCCGAGGGCUGUGGCCUUUGGGAUGAAAGGUGACCUCUUCUUGAAAGUUGCCGUUAAGGGAGGGGCCCGCGUACCAUUAGCUAGUUGGUAGGGUAAUAGCCUACCAAGGCGACGAUGGUUAGCUGGUCUGAGAGGAUGAUCAGCCACACUGGAACUGAAACACGGUCCAGACUCCUACGGGAGGCAGCAGUGAGGAAUUUUGCGCAAUAGGGGAAACCCUGACGCAGCAACGCCGCGUGAGUGAUGAAGGCCUUCGGGUUGUAAAACUCUGUCAAGUGGGAAAAAUAUCUUCCGUUAAAUAGGCGGAAGAGAUGAUGGUACCGCUGGAGGAAGCACCGGCUAACUCCGUGCCAGCAGCCGCGGUAAUACGGAGGGUGCAAGCGUUGUUCGGAAUUAUUGGGCGUAAAGAGCGUGUAGGCGGUUUGGUAAGUCAGAUGUGAAAGCCCUGGGCUUAACCCAGGAAGUGCAUUUGAAACUGCCAUGCUAGAGUAUGGGAGAGGAGAGUGGAAUUCCCAGUGUAGAGGUGAAAUUCGUAGAUAUUGGGAGGAACACCCGUGGCGAAGGCGACUCUCUGGACCAAUACUGACGCUGAGACGCGAAAGCGUGGGGAGCAAACAGGAUUAGAUACCCUGGUAGUCCACGCCGUAAACGAUGAGAACUAGGUGUAGCGGGUAUUGACCCCUGCUGUGCCGCAGCUAACGCAUUAAGUUCUCCGCCUGGGGAGUACGGCCGCAAGGCUAAAACUCAAAGGAAUUGACGG
rnacentral:rRNA from 1 species